CAGACCCGUGUUUUGUGUACAAGCACAUGGCCUUGUCUUUGGGCCAUGUGCUUGUGUUGUCUGUUCCCUUGCCCGCCCCCCUUGUUAUCCUAGUCUUGUCGUGAUUGUCCUAUCUGUGCCACCUGUCGUGUCUUGAUUAGUUCCCCUAUUUAGAUCUCCUAGUGUGCUCUGUCUUUUGUCGGUUCAUUGUGAUUGUUUCCUCAAACUGUUCCUCAUAUAUGUUGCUACCUGUCAGCCUCGUGAGUUUAUCCUUGUCAUCCCUGAAGAAGUCUUUGUAAUACCGUGAGUGUUUGUUUAUAGUUAGUGUUUAGUGUCUUUAUCUGGUCAGCCCUGUCUUGUUUGGUUAUUUAGUCCUUACCCUAGCUAUUGUUUCCCCCUCGUGGGUUUUGUUUUCCCCUGUUGUCAUCAAUAAACCCUUUGUGUUGAGAAUCCUGUCUGCACUUGAGUUCCUCCCUUACCAACCCAUAACAGAAUGAACCGACCAAGAAGGAACUCAUGUCCCCUGACCCAGUCCCCAGAAAUCCCGAGUGUCCAGCCGUCGUCUCCCCGUGUCCCGUAGAUGUCGUCUCCCCGUGUCCCGUAGAUGUCGUCUCCCCGUGUCCCGUAGAUGUCGUCUCCCCGUGUCCCGUGAGUGUUGCCCCGUGUCCUGUUGUCUCCCCGUGUCCAGCUGUCGUCUCCCCGCGUCCCGUAAGUGUUGCCCCGCGUCCCGUGUCUGCUCCUGUCAUGUCCUCUGUCAGUUGUCCCGAGACCCCUCCCCACCCCUCACCACCCAGACCUGCCCGUACCCCCCGUCGUCAGCCUUCGUCCUGUCCUCCUAAGAUCCCUACCCCUCCCACCCACCCUGGUCUGUCCCCCAUGAACUUUGUGCUCCCGCCUCCUCCCCUUCCCUGUUUGUUUUUCUUGAUAUGCCACCCUAACCCUAUUGUUGUGUUUUCAUGUCUGCCCUUAUUACUAUUUGUCAUGUCGUGUUGGUUUUUGUCUCUGUCCCAGUCAGUCAUGUCCCGCGUUUGAUGUUCCCUUAGGGAGCGUCUGGAAGCCGCUCCUUAAGGGAGGGGUUCUGUCAUGGUCCUGCCAUCAUGUCCUGACUUUUCUCUAGUCUAGAGGCAGGAUCAUGACAGACCCGUGUUUUGUGUACAAGCCCCC
rnacentral:lncRNA from 1 species